rnacentral:rRNA from 1 species
GACGAACGCUGGCGGCGUGCCUAAUACAUGCAAGUUGAGCGAUGAAGCUUGGUGCUUGCACCAAUUUGCAGAGCAGCGAACGGGUGAGUAACGCGUGGGGAAUCUGCCUUUGAGCGGGGGACAACAUGUGGAAACGAAUGCUAAUACCGCAUAACAACUUUAAACAUAAGUUUUAAGUUUGAAAGAUGCAGUUGCAUCACUCAAAGAUGAUCCCGCGUUGUAUUAGCUAGUUGGUGAGGUAAAGGCUCACCAAGGCGAUGUUACAUAGCAGACCGGAGUGGAGGGUCAGCCACCUUGGGACGGAGACACGGCCCAAAGGCCUACGGGAGGCAGCAGGAGGGCAACGUCGGCAAUGGACGAAAGUCUGACCGAGCAACGCCGCGGGAGGGAAGAGGGUUGUCGGAUCGUAAAACUCUGUUGGUAGAGAAGAACGUUGGUGAGAGUGGAAAGCUCAGCAAGUGACGGUAACUACCCAGAAAGGGACGGCUAACUACGUG